UACAGAGGUCUCAAGCGUUGUUCGGAUUCAUUGGGCGUAAAGGGUGCGUAGGUGGCGCUGUAAGUCAGGUGUGAAAUUUCGGAGCUCAACUUCGAAACUGCAUUUGAUACUGCGGUGCUUGAGGACUGGAGAGGGGACUGGAAUUUACGGUGUAGCAGUGAAAUGCGUAGAGAUCGUAAGGAAGACCAGUGGCGAAGGCGGGUCUCUGGACAGUUCCUGACACUGAGGCACGAAGGCCAGGGGAGCAAACGGG
rnacentral:rRNA from 1 species